rnacentral:sRNA from 1 species
CUAAGGUUCGACUCGAGCGAAGCGAGAGAACGUUGCCGCAGGCAACGGCCCGAAGGGCGAGGCGCUUUAGCGCCGAGUAAUCCUUCCCCCACCACCA